ACUGAAAAGACAAAAACACCUGAAUAAGUCUUAAACCCUUUACAAUCCAGAAAGGGUAAAACGGUAGUUAUCGCCUCUUUGUAUAUAACUAUAACUUCGACAUGGAGCAGGGUUUCUUCUCGAGCUUUUAACGCCCCCGUCGAUCGCGCCUGUAUCUCUCACGGCUUCGCCUGAGAACCAACCCACUGGCCAUCGUAUUUGGCUCUCAUUAAAGCCUCUUCACCAAGAGAUGAAGAAAAAGAAGCAAAAUCCUGUAACUGAUUCCAAACCUGAUGCUGAUUUGAAGUCUAUCAUUCAUCAGCAUUCUCUGUUCUUUGACAAGUUAGUUGAGUUAAUCCCUGCAAAGUUCUAUUUACCCAAUGAUGAUAAGGAUAGGCCAUGGUUUCAGGGCCUCAGCAAGGCCAAAAAAGCUUCGGCAAAGAAGGAAUCAAGGGAGAACAUUAAGAAGGCUCGAAGAGAUCGUUUGGAUCCAGAAAAGUCUUCCACAACAACCCUUGAUUUAUUAAAGCAAAGCUUGGAGAAGGAAAAAUUGAAUGAAAGCGGCGAUGAGGAAAUUGAGAUUAAACCUAUGCUGUCUGGCCUUGAAGGUAAUGAUCGGCAGGUGACGUUAGAGGAACUUCGGCUACGGCUGCAUCAAAAAAUCGAACAGUCCCGAGCAAUUCGGAAUCCUGAAGUUUCAAACAGAGCAAAGAAGAGGAGUGGGAUAGACAGCAAGAAAGGAAUUCAGCAGAAGAAGCGCAAGAGAGAGUUUGUUUCUGAAGAAAAGAAACCAGCAACUAGUAGUUCUGCAGAUAAAGUGGAGAAGGAUAUAGUAGAAGCUUCAAAGGGACUCGCAUUUGGUCAUGUCAAACUUGGGAAUGAGGAAGAGCAUGGAAAGAAGAAAAAGGCAAAACUUUCAAAGUUUAAGGAGCUUGAAAGGGCAAAGAAGUUGGAAGAAGCGAAGAAAGAUCCUGGGAAAGGUGAGAUUAUCUCGAAGAAGCAUUCGUGGAAAGCAGCAACAAAUAGAGCAGCCGGGAUGAAGGUUCAUGAUGAUCCCAGCCUGUUGAAAAGGAGCAUACAAAAGGAGAAGAAGAGGCAUCAGAAGAAUGCUGAGAAAUGGAAGGAGAGGCUGCAGACCACAGUGAAGAUGAAAGCAGAGAAACAGCAAAAGAGAUCAGAAAAUAUAUCACAUAGGAUUCAAGACAAGAAAAUGCGGAGAAUUGCAAAAAGAGAGAAAAAGCUAAUGCGUCCAGGAUUUGAAGGUAGAAAGGAAGGUUUUAUUAAUGAAGUUUUUUUAGCCUAAAGGAAGUCAACGCCUGAAAGUUGACACAAAUUUAAAGUGUAUUGGGUUCGUGGGGCUGGCAUCACUAUAUCAAAGAAAUUAUGGGAAAAUUAAGAAAGAAAAAAGGCUAUGAAGUGCUCUGGAUCCAUCUGAAGAUUGUUUCCAAGUGGUAGAAACGCACCUCAUGGAUUGAUCUCACGAGUGGUAGUACUGCAGUUUUUCACUUCGGUGCUAAUAACUUCUUUUCUUUUCUUUUCUAAGCACACUUCGGUGCUAAUAACUUGUUAUUUCAAUUGGUUAUCUGAAGGCGUUUUUGGUGUUGCAGUCCCUGUAGUUAUGCCAUGUUGGUCUGUUUCUGCAGUUAACCUCGUACUGAAAAGUCUUUUUCUUCUUUUUUUUAUUGACGGGAUGAUAUAGUAAA